rnacentral:rRNA from 1 species
AUUGAACGCUGGCGGCAUGCCUUACACAUGCAAGUCGAACGGCAGCAUGGAAGAGCUUGCUCUUCUGAUGGCGAGUGGCGAACGGGUGAGUAAAGCAUCGGAACGUACCGUGUAGUGGGGGAUAACGUAGCGAAAGCUGUGCUAAUACCGCAUACGAUCUAUGGAUGAAAGCGGGGGACCGUAAGGCCUCGCGCGAUUGGAGCGGCCGAUGUCAGAUUAGCUAGUUGGUGGGGUAAAGGCCCACCAAGGCGACGAUCUGUAGCUGGUCUGAGAGGACGACCAGCCACACUGGGACUGAGACACGGCCCAGACUCCUACGGGUGGCAG